AGUGAACGCUGGCGGUAGGCCUAACACAUGCAAGUCGAACGGCAGCACAGUAAGAGCUUGCUCUUACGGGUGGCGAGUGGCGGACGGGUGAGGAAUACAUCGGAAUCUACUUUUUCGUGGGGGAUAACGUAGGGAAACUUACGCUAAUACCGCAUACGACCUACGGGUGAAAGCAGGGGAUCUUCGGACCUUGCGCGAUUGAAUGAGCCGAUGUCGGAUUAGCUAGUUGGCGGGGUAAAGGCCCACCAAGGCGACGAUCCGUAGCUGGUCUGAGAGGACGAUCAGCCACACUGGAACUGAGACACGGUCCAGACUCCUACGGGAUGCAGCAGUGGGGAAUAUUGGACAAUGGGCGCAAGCCUGAUCCAGCCAUACCGCGUGGGUGAAGAAGGCCUUCGGGUUGUAAAGCCCUUUUGUUGGGAAAGAAAAGCAGCAGGUUAAUACCCCGCUGUUCUGACGGUACCCAAAGAAUAAGCACCGGCUAACUUCGUG
rnacentral:rRNA from 1 species